UAAGACUAUUGGAAAUCCAAGGCAAAAUACUCCUGAAAAGUGGCUGUGUACAGUAAACAAGCAAGGCAGCUUCACGUUGAGGAGAGGCUGUUCACCGAAGAUGACAGCCGUUCCCAUGACAACGCUAAAAACCUUUCACCAUUGGGCAUCAACAGGAGAACAUCUCCCACGGCAAGUACACGAAGCCAGGAGUUUAGUCCUCAUCUUCCAUAAAUCACCCUGUUGGGCACUGAUAAAGAGGAACCGCCAGUUGCGCACGUGCAGCUCCACCUUCUAGGCACCAGCCUGGCUCCAGAUGAGAGGAAGAGCAAAUAAAGCUAAAGUGCCAGUGAGUUGGAUUUACGUAAAAGGAAAAUUAAGCUUGACUGAUGUUCCUACCCUUCCCUCUGCUCUCCAUCUGAGGAUCACCAUUUUUAAUGAUGAAAAGCCUAGCAAAAAUCCAGGCUGUUUUGCAAACUGCUGAAGAAGCCAAGUGAUUUUCACUGUUAUAGAGAAAUCAUUCACUGUCAUGAGAUGGAGGGAGAGGGAGGCCUUGGGAGAAUUCUGCUUUUUUUCACCCUAACCUUGUAGUGUCCAGCCUGUGAUUCAACAGUUUUCUUCUCCAUUUGAAACAGAAGUUGGUAAAAGACCAUUUUUCACCACUGGAUCUUCAUCGGGCCUGUCAGCUCCCAGAGUGUCAUGACACGUGGGUCUGAGCUUCUGCAGUCACCUGAAUGUAUGAGGAUCUGCUUCCUUUUUUAAGGAAAAAGCCCUUAUGCAUUUGGAAAAAAAAGACUUGAAAUGUGCCCAGAAAGCUCAGGAGCCAAAGGCGAACGCUCGGAGCUGCUGUUGGAGAGCACAAAGUGCAGUUGGACGCCUUCCCCCCGCGCACGAGUGUGUCUGUAGCCAUGGUGGGCUCCCCUGAAGCAGCGCCCAUCACCCAGUUCUGUGUCCUGGCUGCUGGGACAAAUGGCGGGAUGCAGGAGAGCAUCUCCAGGAAACAGUCCUCGAUUGCGUUAGAAGGGUGGUAGCUGGAGAACCUGGGUUUCUCCAAUGUGACAACAGGGUGCUGUUAUUUUUCCUCUCUCUGUUUUAACUCCGUCUAGCAGCUGCAUGUGAUGUGGAAACAGAUCCCUGAAAUGCUUUAACAGUGAGGGUGGCUUCAAGCUCGGUUCCGAGGCAAGGGGAUAAAUGAAGCUGCCUGGCUGCUGGGAGAGACACACGAGACCACCCCUCUGCCCUGCCAGGGGCAGGGUGUCAGCAGCUGGCCACGGAAAACCUCCCUGGCAGCUACCGCCCUGUGAGACACGCUUUGAUAAGAAAAAGGCAGGGGGAAAAAAAAAAAUAGUGGAAAAGAAUCUGCAAAAUUUCCACCUUCUGCCCCAGAAGAGUGGAGUGUGAACUGCAGGACCUGGUGAACAUAAACAUCUCGGCUUCCAAAAACUGGUUAAGCUUUUGCCGUCAAACAGCAAACGUCAAAACAGAGAAGUAAGUAUAUAUGCUAGCCCAGCCAGCCCUAGCAGUGCCCCUGUCUGCAUCACUGUGUCUUCGUUACCCACU